CCUACGGGAGGCAGCAGUGAGGAAUAUUGGUCAAUGGAGGCAACUCUGAACCAGCCAUGCCGCGUGCAGGAAGAAGCAUCUAUGGUGUGUAAACUGCUUUUAUACAGGAAGAAACAACGCUACGUGUAGCGUCUUGACGGUACUGUAAGAAUAAGGACCGGCUAACUCCGUGCCAGCAGCCGCGGUAAUACGGAGGGUCCAAGCGUUAUCCGGAAUCAUUGGGUUUAAAGGGUCCGUAGGCGGCCUUAUAAGUCAGUGGUGAAAUCUCCUAGCUCAACUAGGAAACUGCCAUUGAUACUGUAGGGCUUGAAUUAUUAGGAAGUAACUAGAAUAUGUAGUGUAGCGGUGAAAUGCUUAGAGAUUACAUGGAAUACCAAUUGCGAAGGCAGGUUACUACUAAUAUAUUGACGCUGAUGGACGAAAGCGUGGGUAGCGAACAGGAUUAGAUACCCUGGUAGUCCACGCCGUAAACGAUGGAUACUAGCUGUUCGGAGCAAUCUGAGUGGCUCAGCGAAAGUGAUAAGU
rnacentral:rRNA from 1 species